AUUGAACGCUGGCGGCAGGCCUAACACAUGCAAGUCGAGCGGAGCGGCGGACGGGCGAGUAAUGCCUAGGAAGCUGACUGGUAGUGGGGGAUAACGUCCGGCAACGGGCGCUAAUACCGCAUACUAUCAGAUGAGCCUGGGGCGGAUUAGCUAGCUGGUGGGGUAAAGGCCUACCAAGGCUACGAUCCGUAACUGGUCUGAGAGGAUGAUCAGUAACACUGGAACUGAGACACGGUCCAGACUCCUACGGGAGGCAGCAGUGGGGAAUAUUGGACAAUGGGCGAAAGCCUGAUCCAGCCAUGCCGCGUGUGUGAAGAAGGUCUUCGGAUUGUAAAGCACUUUAAGUUGGGAGGCGUUACCAACAGAAGAAGCACCGGCUAACUUCGUGCCAGCAGCCGCGGUAAUUC
rnacentral:rRNA from 1 species